rnacentral:rRNA from 1 species
UAGUCCACGCCGUAAACGAUGGUUACUAGCUGUUCGACGUAAGUUGAGUGGCUAAGCGAAAGUGAUAAGUAACCCACCUGGGGAGUACGUUCGCAAGAAUGAAACUCAAAGGAAUUGACGGGGGCCCGCACAAGCGGUGGAGCAUGUGGUUUAAUUCGAUGAUACGCGAGGAACCUUACCAGGGCUUAAAUGUAGAUUGACAGGUUUAGAGAUAGACUUUUCUUCGGACAAUUUACAAGGUGCUGCAUGGUUGUCGUCAGCUCGUGCCGUGAGGUGUCAGGUUAAGUCCUAUAACGAGCGCAACCCCUGUUGUUAGUUACCAUCGAGUAAUGUCGGGAACUCUAACAAGACUGCCGGUGCAAACCGCGAGGAAGGUGGGGAUGACGUCAAAUCAUCACGGCCCUUACGUCCUGGGCCACACACGUGCUACAAUGGUAGGUACAGAGAGCAGCCACUGGGUGACCAGGAGCGAAUCUAUAAAGCCUAUCACAGUUCGGAUCGGAGUCUGCAACUCGACUCCG